rnacentral:lncRNA from 1 species
CAUGCUAGAGGAAUAGAGCAAACCAUGUGAGAUUUUUCAACUAUAAUGUCUCCUUUUAUAAAUUACAAUAUGAUUUGGAUAUUGAGUGGCUUGAGAGACAUUUGUUGGCUAUUAUUGCCAUCAUCCGAGUGUGUGUCGCCUGUUUCUUGGGAGGUGGAUGUGUUGUAUUGUUUCCCUCGCAAAUAAAAUAAAAUCCAAUUCCUGAAGAAGAUAAUAAAAGACAAAACGCACGCAAAAUAAACUUUCCCCAAACUCCCACCUCUUGUGUGAGCUGGAAAUAGUUUAAUAUACCCCAAAUACUUAGCAAAAUUGUCGCCAAUUGUCUCACUUUAAUCUCACUUUCUUAUGACUUGGUGAUUAGUAAUUACUAUAAGCACAUAUGAUGCAAGUCUCUGAUAUUGAUGAUUUAGGGACGCUGCUAAACUCAAAGGCAUUGUUAGGUCGAAACGUUUUUUUACCGAAUGUUCGGGGGCCAAGAGAAAGCUCCAGGUAUAUCUACAGGGUAUCGAUAAGAAAGUUUUGAAGAUAACACAAGCAAAGAGUAGAAAGAAACCAUAGAAAAUGAUAAACAUGUGGUUUAACCACUUAAAAUAACCAAUAAAUUUCUCAUGUAGUUGAUACUUGAUAUAUUAAUACAUUUUUUUUUUUUUUUGUCAUCAUAUAUUAAUACAUUUGAUUAAAUGAAACACGUACGUUUUGUUGAAUUUAUAUAUAUAGCCACAAUUAGUUGUUUACUUUUUUUUGUCAAAUUAGUUAUUUACUAAGUGGAAAAAGAUAUGUGGAAUUUCUAGCCACCACUGGUUAUUUACUAAACCGAACAGGAUUUAUCUAAACAUUGUCGCAUGGUCUCAAGCUACCAACCAUCUUUGAAUGCUAUCUACGUAUGCACACCUUUAUGAUGUAAUUUAAGCAAAUUUUUGUGUACCUUGAUCAGUUUAGUCAGGUGAAAAUUGAAUACUGAUAGACAUAAUGAAAAACGACAGUUUGACAAAAAAUGGUAUCAAAGAUCUAGAACAUCGACCCAAAUCCAUGAUUUAGAUAUACAUCAAUAUAUUAAAAUAUAAAACUUAUCAUUAUCUAUAAUGUAAUAUUCCAUAUUAGAUUAAGAAUUAGGUUUAGUCAUCUCUAUAUGCAUAUUGUAACUGAGGAUGAGCAAAAGAGAGGAUCUCGAAUAUUUCGUGGUUUGCGGUGAAAGCAGACAUUAACCUAAUUUGCUUUUGAAAAUCUUUACA